ACACAUCCAGGAAGGCAGCAGGCGCGCAAAUUACCCAAUCCCGACUCGGGGAGGUAGUGACAAUAAAUAACAAUGCUGGGCUAUCGUAGUCCGGCAAUUGGAAUGAGAACAAUUUAAAUCCCUUAACGAGGAACAAUUGGAGGGCAAGUCUGGUGCCAGCAGCCGCGGUAAUUCCAGCUCCAAUAGCGUAUAUUAAAGUUGUUGCAGUUAAAAAGCUCGUAGUUGGAUUUCGGGGCGGCCCGACUGGUCCGCCGCGAGGUGAGCACUGGUCGGCCGCUCUUCCUCUCGGAAGCCCCGACUGCUCUUCGUUGCAGUGGUCGGGGAGUUCGGGACGUUUACUUUGAAAAAAUUAGAGUGUUCAAGGCAGGCCGUCGCCUGAAUACAUUAGCAUGGAAUAAUGGAAGAGGACCUCGGUCCCGUUUUGUUGGUUUCUUGGACCGAAGUAAUGAUUAAGAGGGACAGUUGGGGGCAUUCGUAUUUAAUUGUCAGAGGUGAAAUUCUCGGAUUUAUGAAAGACGAACGACUGCGAAAGCAUUUGCCAAGGAUGUUUUCAUUAAUCAAGAACGAAAGUUAGGGGUUCGAAGACGAUCAGAUACCGUCGUAGUCCUAACCAUAAACUAUGCCGACUAGGGAUCGGUGGAUGUUAGCG
rnacentral:rRNA from 1 species